AUGGGUGUUUGACUUUUGGUUGAGUCGAUCGCCGACCUUUGUGGAUGUGGAGCGAGUUGCAGAGGUUCACUAUAAGAAAAUAGUAUUUUUGCGAUCGAUUUUAUGAUCAAUUUUUUUUAUCAAAUUUAUGAUCGAUCUUGUGAUUGAUUUUUAGAUAAAUAUUAAUAUAGCAACCAAUAAAAAAUCGGCUGCAAAAUUAUCCACCAUAAGG
rnacentral:lncRNA from 1 species